rnacentral:tRNA from 1 species
AUCCUACUAGCUCAAUAGGGAGAGCAUUGUUCGAAUGCACAAAUAUAUGAGUUCGAAUCCCAUGUAGGUUC